ACCCGCUGAACUUAAGCAUAUCAAUAAGCGGAGGAAAAGAAACCAACAGGGAUUGCCUUAGUAACGGCGAGUGAAGCGGCAACAGCUCAAAUUUGAAAUCUGGCCCUUGGGUCCGAAUUGUAAUUUGUAGAGGAUGAUUUUGGUGCGGUAUCUUCCGAGUUCCUUGGAACAGGACGCCUUAGAGGGUGAGAGCCCCGUACGGUUGAAUGCCUAGCCUCUGUAAAUCUCCUUCGACGAGUCGAGUAGUUUGGGAAUGCUGCUCUAAAUGGGAGGUAAAUUUCUUCUAAAGCUAAAUAUUGGCCAGAGACCGAUAGCGCACAAGUAGAGUGAUCGAAAGAUGAAAAGCACUUUGAAAAGAGGGUUAAAUAGCACGUGAAAUUGUUGAAAGGGAAGGAUUUGUGACCAGACUUUUUCUGGGCGGAUCAUCCGGGGUUCUCUCCGGUGCACUUCGCCCAGUAAAGGCCAGCAUCGGUUUUCGGCGUGGGAUAAAAGCAGUAGGAAUGUGGCUCUCUACGGGGAGUGUUAUAGCCUAUUGUAUAAUACCGCGCUGGGGACCGAGGUUCGCGCUUCUGCAAGGAUGCUGGCGUAAUGGUUAUCAAUCACCCGUCUUGAAACACGGACCAAGGAGUCGAACAUUUGUGCGAGUGUUUGGGUGUUAAACCCUCACGCGUAAUGAAAGUGAACGGAGGUGAGAGCCCUUACGGGUGCAUCAUCGACCGAUCCUGAAGUUUUCGGAUGGAUUUGAGUAAGAGCAUAACUGUUCGGACCCGAAAGAUGGUGAACUAUGCGUGGAUAGGGUGAAGCCAGAGGAAACUCUGGUGGAGGCUCGCAGCGGUUCUGACGUGCAAAUCGAUCGUCAAAUCUGCGCAUGGGGGCGAAAGACUAAUCGAACCAUCUAGUAGCUGGUUACCGCCGAAGUUUCCCUCAGGA
rnacentral:rRNA from 1 species